GUCCGAGCUUUGCGAGACCGAAGUCUGAGAGUUUAGGGUUGUAUUCCUCAUCAAGAAGGAUGUUGGGGGACUUGAGAUCCCGGUAGAUGACUGGAGGAUUUGCCUUCUCAUGGAGGGAGUGGCAGGAGCAUCCUCCGCGGUUCUUACCAGAUUUCUCGAGGGGCGCUCCGGAUCGCGUCGAGACGGCGGCAUUCGCAGGCGGGACUUCCCCUCGCUCCAUCCUCCUUGACGGCAUCUUCUUCUCAGGCUUGAAACAUGGAAAGCAUUUCAUCUCCCGACUCGUCCUAAUUCCCCUAUGUCUGCACCUCUUCCAAAUUCCAAAUGCCUGUGCCCCCUUACAAUUCACAAAUCGCCUGAUGCCCACCACGAGAUCUCCAACCCCUCCACCUCUCCUCUCUUACAACCCAGAAGACUCAGAAUGGCAGCAGCAAGGAUGAUGAGUUGAAUUCAGCUUCUCCCGUUUCCUCCCUUGCUGCAAGAUCCUGUACCCAAAAGUCAUAGAUUUCGAUCACUCCCUUGGCGAGAAAAAUGUGAUCAGGUAGGAGGCACAUUUUCUCCGUGCAUUUGUGGAGGUCAAUGUGCUCACAGCCAAGAAUAGGACCGCUCUCGGUUUUGGGCCACACUCGAGUUCUAAAAUUAGAUCAGUCUGCCUCUUUGAAGAUCGGUGUCCUCUGGAAUGCACUGGAUGUAACGUUCUCAGACAAGUUUGGAUUCCGCUUUGAUCUGGAAACCCGAGUGACAGUUGGAUUUUCGUUUUUGCUGUUCAUGGGGGUUGGGAAUUUAAAAUGAACUACAGUAGGUUAUAAGGAAAGAAGAGGGAUAGAUCUAGCUCGAUCUUCUCCACUGUGUCUCCAGCAAAAUAUGUACUGUGACGCAAAUUCUACCUUGUGAUACUGCCACAUGUAUAGCUGCAGAGUUCUUUCA